CCGAUGUGCUACAGCGGA
rnacentral:snRNA from 1 species